rnacentral:misc_RNA from 1 species
AAGAGACGUUGCCCUUGGGGUAUACCUCCCACCCUUUGUUUAUUAUACCUUUGUUGCUUUGGCGGGCCCGUCCUCGGACCACCGGCUUCUGCUGGUCAGUGCCCGCCAGAGGACCUAAAACUCUGUUUGUUAAUAUUGUCUGAGUACUAUAUAAUAGUUA